rnacentral:rRNA from 1 species
UACGUAGGGGGCAAGCGUUGUCCGGAUUUAUUGGGCGUAAAGAGCUCGUAGGCGGCUUGUUGCGUCGUCCGUGAAAACCCGUGGCUCAACUGCGGGCUUGCGGACGAUACGGGCAGGCUGGAGGCUGGUAGGGGCAAGCGGAAUUCCUGGUGUAGCGGUGAAAUGACGCAGAUAUCAGGAGGAACACCGGUGGCGAAGGCGGAUCUCUGGGCCUUACCUGACGCUCAGGUGCGAAAGCUAGGGGAGCGAACAGG